CCCUGCAGGAGCCUUCUCCUGGUCCCCCGGGGCUGCAGCGACUUCCUGCCCCCACAGACCUUGGGUCCCCAGGCCCCCCACCGCUGCCCACCCCGCACUCGCUUCCUUCUUCUCUGUCCCCGGAGCUUGAGCCUGAUGGACAAACCCUCGGAAUCGGACUCGUUAUGGCCCAUCCCAAUCUUCUUAUGCUUAAGAUACCAGACAGCACUUCGGGAUUAUGCUUGGAGAUCAGGGGGAUCCCUGAGUGGCUCAGUGGUUUAGCACCUGCCUUCGGCCCAGGAUGUGAUCCUGGAGUCCCGGGAUCGAGUCCCACAUCAUGGAGCAUGGAGCCUGCUUCUCCCUCUGCUUGUGUCUGUUUCUCUGUCUCUCUCUGUAUCUCUCAUGAAUAAAUAAAUAAAGUCUUAAAAAAAAGGA